rnacentral:rRNA from 1 species
AUACGUAGGGUGCGAGCGUUAAUCGGAAUUACUGGGCGUAAAGCGUGCGCAGGCGGCUCUAUAAGACAGAUGUGAAAUCCCCGGGCUCAACCUGGGAACUGCGUUUGUGACUGUAGGGCUCGAGUGUGGCAGAGGGGGGUGGAAUUCCACGUGUAGCAGUGAAAUGCGUAGAGAUGUGGAGGAACACCGAUGGCGAAGGCAGCCCCCUGGGUCAACACUGACGCUCAUGCACGAAAGCGUGGGUAGC